UAAAAACUUCUCUAUUCUCCCUGGGUAGUGGGGCCAGUAUUUGGUAGCUGGUGCUGAAAUUGAAAACCUUUGAUUACAUCCUUGCCCUGGGAUUGUGUCAGUGGCAACUGUCACUCAAUGGGACAGAG
ensembl:snoRNA